rnacentral:rRNA from 1 species
AUUGAACGCUGGCGGCAUGCUUUACACAUGCAAGUCGAACGGUAACAGCACUUCGGUGGCUGACGAGUGGCGAACGGGUGAGUAAUACAUCGGAACGUGCCUAGUAGUGGGGGAUAACUACUCGAAAGAGUAGCUAAUACCGCAUGAGAUCUAAGGAUGAAAGCAGGGGACCUUCGGGCCUUGCGCUACUAGAGCGGCUGAUGGCGGAUUAGGUAGUUGGUGGGAUAAAAGCUUACCAAGCCGACGAUCUGUAGCUGGUCUGAGAGGACGACCAGCCACACUGGGACUGAGACACGGCCCAGACUCCUACGGGAGGCAGCAGUGGGGAAUUUUGGACAAUGGGCGCAAGCCUGAUCCAGCAAUGCCGCGUGCAGGAUGAAGGCCUUCGGGUUGUAAACUACUUUUGUACGGAACGAAAAGCCCUCUUCUAAUACAGGAGGGUCAUGACGGUACCGUAAGAAUAAGCACCGGCUAACUACGUG